UACAGAGGGUGCGAGCGUUGUUCGGAAUUAUUGGGCGUAAAGCGCGUGUAGGCGGCGAUUUAAGUCGGGUGUGAAAGCCCUCAGCUCAACUGAGGAAGCGCGCCCGAGACUGAAUGGCUUGAGUGCCGAAGAGGGUGGCGGAAUUCCCCAAGUAGAGGUGAAAUUCGUAGAGAUGUGGAGGAACACCGAUGGCGAAGGCAGCCUCCUGGGCCAGCACUGACGCUCAUGCACGAAAGCGUGGGGAGCAAACAGG
rnacentral:rRNA from 1 species